GACUCUGUGACAAAGAAGCUGCAGGAAACAGAUUUGAGUUGAUGAUUCGCCCACACCUCCCCAGUCUGUCGGGAUUGAGUUCGACAGGCCCAAGGUUAUAGACGUUGGAGUAUUAGUCUAGUCAGAUUACAUUCGGAAAGAGAACACGUACCAACAAGGAACCCACCUCAUGACUCGGCAUUCGAGGAGAUUGUCACUAAUGUCAGUGCCAGCUGAGGCGGUGAUUGCUAGAUUCCACAGCAACGACCCUUAAAGUGACCAUACGGUGAUACUGAUUUUUAUGAAAGAUUAGCAUUUGUGUGAGCUCAGUCCUGUGCUGGCUUAAUUAUUUGUUCCCGUUGAUGGAAGCAUACGGGGAACUGUAUGACGUCAUUCUGCGUUCCUGUCGAGACGUCAUUUGUGGCAAAGGACGCCCGAGCCAAAAGAGAUCAUCUGUGAACUUGACCAAGGUCCUCUAGUUGAAGCCUCUUGUUCUGGCAGGGAAGGAAGACAUGUAGGGAUGAGAGGUGUGGCCGCCUCUGUCAUCCUGACGAUGAGUGUCCUCCUAACGUCAGCUCUUGAGACUGGCAUUGACAAAGGUGAGU